ACGAACGCUGGCGGCGUGCCUAAUACAUGCAAGUCGAGCGAGCGGAACUAACAGAUUUACCUCGGUAAUGACGUUAGGAAAGCGAGCGGCGGAUGGGUGAGUAACACGUGGGGAACCUGCCCCAUAGUCUGGGAUACCACUUGGAAACAGGUGCUAAUACCGGAUAAGAAAGCAGAUCGCAUGAUCAGCUUUUUAAAAGGCGGCGUAAGCUGUCGCUAUGGGGAUGGCCCCGCGGUGCAUUAGCUAGUUGGUAAGGUAAACGGCUUACCAAGGCGAUGAUGCAUAGCCG
rnacentral:rRNA from 1 species